GGCGUAAAGCGCACGCAGGCGGUCUGUCAAGUCGGAUGUGAAAUCCCCGGGCUCAACCUGGGAACUGCAUUCGAAACUGGCAGGCUAGAGUCUUGUAGAGGGGGGUAGAAUUCCAGGUGUAGCGGUGAAAUGCGUAGAGAUCUGGAGGAAUACCGGUGGCGAAGGCGGCCCCCUGGACAAAGACUGACGCUCAGGUGCGAAAGCGUGGGGAGCAAACAGGAUUAGAUACCCUGGUAGUCCACGCCGUAAACGAUGUCGACUUGGAGGUUGUGCCCUUGAGGCGUGGCUUCCGGAGCUAACGCGUUAAGUCGACCGCCUGGGGAGUACGGCCGCAAGGUUAAAACUCAAAUGAAUUGACGGGGGCCCGCACAAGCGGUGGAGCAUGUGGUUUAAUUCGAUGCAACGCGAAGAACCUUACCUACUCUUGACAUCCAGAGAACUUUCCAGAGAUGGAUUGGUGCCUUCGGGAACUCUGAGACAGGUGCUGCAUGGCUGUCGUCAGCUCGUGUUGUGAAAUGUUGGGUUAAGUCCCGCAACGAGCGCAACCCUUAUCCUUUGUUGCCAGCGAUUCGGCCGGGAACUCAAAGGAGACUGCCAGUGAUAAACUGGAGGAAGGUGGGGAUGACGUCAAGUCAUCAUGGCCCUUACGAGUAGGGCUACACACGUGCUACAAUGGCGCAUACAAAGAGAAGCGACCUCGCGAGAGCAAGCGGACCUCAUAAAGUGCGUCGUAGUCCGGAUUGGAGUCUGCAACUCGACUCCAUGAAGUCGGAAUCGCUAGUAAUCGUAGAUCAGAAUGCUACGGUGAAUACGUUCCCGGGCCUUGUACACACCGCCCGUCACACCAUGGGAGUGGGUUGCAAAAGAAGUAGGUAGCUUUAACCUUCGGGAGGGCGCUUACCACUUUGUGAUUCAUGACUGGGGUGAAGUCGUACCAAAGGUAACC
rnacentral:rRNA from 1 species